rnacentral:lncRNA from 1 species
CUACAAAAGCCACGAUAAUGGAUGGCUGAUUUUCACAUUCGACAAUGAGGCAGACAAGAACAAAGUACUAGAAGGAGGCCCCUACACGGUCUUUGAUAGGCAGCUUCAUAUGAAACCGAUGGCGAGGUACUUUAAUUUUGACCCGAACGAAAUGUGUAUUGUUCCGGUGUGGGUGAAAUUGCAUAACUGGCCCCCGAUCUACUGGAAUGAAGUUGCUCUAGGCAAAUUUGCUAGCAAACUGGGUACUCCGAUAUGUUCUGAUGCGCUGACUAAAGAAAAACUGAAAAUCUCGUAUGCUAGGCU